rnacentral:lncRNA from 1 species
GCAGCCUUCUCUUCCUUCUCCAGAUCUUGUUGUAGCUGGGUAAUGAUGUCUGAAGCUGCUGACGUUCUUUGGAACCCCAGGAGGCCAAAUGGAGAUCAGCAUCAUCAAUCUUUGUAAACAAGCAUUGGUGCAAGUGGAAGACAGGAAAUGUCCAAGUUAAGAAGCCAGGCUUGGCUGGCUCCAGAGUAUCUGAAGACGUCACACAAAUCAUUUAUCAUACUCUGCUUGAUCUGACUACAGAAGUGUGUUUCAGCAAAUACUUAAAGCAUGGAGGGGCUAUUGCUCAGUUCAAGCCCUGAUCUGUAGUCUGCUGGCUGUUCUGAGAUCAAUGAGUACACACAAUAUUAAAUUACAACCCCU